AGAGUUUGAUCCUGGCUCAGGAUAAACGCUAGCGGCAGGCUUAAUACAUGCAAGUCGAACGGUAACCGAGGUAGCAAUACCUUGGACGAGUGGCGCACGGGUGCGUAACACGUAUGCAAUCUACCUUUAACCAGAGAAUAGCCCAGAGAAAUUUGGAUUAAUACUCUAUAAUAUAAUGAAGUGGCAUCACUUUAUUAUUAAAGUUUCGGCGGUUAUAGAUGAGCAUGCGGGACAUUAGCUAGUUGGUGAGGUAACGGCUCACCAAGGCAACGAUGUCUAGGGGGUCUGAGAGGAUGUCCCCCCACACUGGUACUGAGAUACGGACCAGACUCCUACGGGAGGCAGCAGUAAGGAAUAUUGGUCAAUGGACGCAAGUCUGAACCAGCCAUGCCGCGUGAAGGAUGAAGGCCCUAGUGGUCGUAAACUUCUUUUAUACGGGAAAAAUUCUUGGGUCGUGAACCCGAGUUGAUGGUACUGUAUGAAUAAGCACCGGCUAACUCCGUGCCAGCAGCCGCGGUAAUACGGAGGGUGCAAGCGUUAUCCGGAUUUAUUGGGUUUAAAGGGUGCGCAGGCGGGACUAUAAGUCAGUGGUGAAAGCCUACAGCUUAACUGUAGAACUGCCAUUGAUACUGUAGCCCUUGAGUGCAGCUGAAGAGGGCGGAAUGUGUUGUGUAGCGGUGAAAUGCUUAGAUAUAACACAGAACACCGAUUGCGAAGGCAGCUCUCUAAACUGCAACUGACGCUCAGGCACGAAAGCGUGGGGAUCAAACAGGAUUAGAUACCCUGGUAGUCCACGCCCUAAACGAUGAUUACUGGAUGUUGGCGAUACACAGUCAGCGUCUAAGCGAAAGCAUUAAGUAAUCCACCUGGGGAGUACGGUCGCAAGACUGAAACUCAAAGGAAUUGACGGGGGCCCGCACAAGCGGAGGAGCAUGUGGUUUAAUUCCAUGAUACGCGAGGAACCUUACCUAGGCUUAAAUGUAGAGCGACAGCUGGUGAAAACUAGCCUUCUUCGGACGAUUUACAAGGUGCUGCAUGGUUGUCGUCAGCUCGUGCCGUGAGGUGUCGGGUUAAGUCCCAUAACGAGCGCAACCCCUAUCAUUAGUUGCCAUCAGGUUAUGCUGGGAACUCUAAUGAAACUGCCUACGCAAGUAGUGAGGAAGGUGGGGAUGACGUCAAAUCAGCACGGCCCUUACGCCUAGGGCUACACACGUGCUACAAUGGGCGGUACAGAGGGCAGCUACUUGGCGACAAGAUGCUAAUCUCCAAAACCGUUCUCAGUUCGGAUCGAAGUCUGCAACUCGACUUCGUGAAGUUGGAUUCGCUAGUAAUCGGAUAUCAGCAAUGAUCCGGUGAAUACGUUCCCGGGCCUUGUACACACCGCCCGUCAAGCCAUGGAAGUUGGGGGUACCUGAAGUCGAUGACCGCAAGGAGUCGCCUAGGGUAAAACCAAUAACUGGGGCUAAGUCGUAACAAGGUA
rnacentral:rRNA from 1 species